rnacentral:rRNA from 1 species
GAUGAACGCUAGCGGCAGGCUUAACACAUGCAAGUCGAGGGGCAGCGGGGUGUAGCAAUACAUCGCCGGCGACCGGCGCACGGGUGCGUAACACGUAUGGAAUCUGCCCUUUACUGGGGGAUAGCCCGGAGAAAUCCGGAUUAAUACCCCAUAACAAGCGAGGUGGCAUCAUCUUGCUUUGAAAGCUCCGGCGGUAAAGGAUGACCAUGCGCCCGAUUAGCUAGUUGGUGAGGUAAUGGCUCACCAAGGCUACGAUCGGUAGGGGGCCUGAGAGGGUUAUCCCCCANACUGGUACUGAGACACGGACCAGACUCCUACGGGAGGCAGCAGUGAGGAAUAUUGCGCAAUGGAGGCAACUCUGACGCAGCCAUGCCGCGUGCAGGAAGAAGGCGCUACGCGUUGUAAACUGCUUUUAACCGGGAAGAAACCCUCCGACGUGUCGGAGGUUGACGGUACCGGAGGAAUAAGCACCGGCUAACUUCGUGCCAGCAGCCGCGGUAAAGUA